rnacentral:rRNA from 1 species
AUUGAACGCUGGCGGCAUGCUUUACACAUGCAAGUCGAACGGCAGCGCGGGCUUCGGCCUGGCGGCGAGUGGCGAACGGGUGAGUAAUACAUCGGAACGUGCCCAGUAGUGGGGGAUAGCUCGGCGAAAGCCGGAUUAAUACCGCAUACGACCUGAGGGUGAAAGCGGGGGAUCUUCGGACCUCGCGCUAUUGGAGCGGCCGAUGGCAGAUUAGCUAGUUGGUGGGGUAAAGGCCUACCAAGGCGACGAUCUGUAGCUGGUCUGAGAGGACGACCAGCCACACUGGGACUGAGACACGGCCCAGACUCCUACGGGAGGCAGCAGUGAGGAAUUUUGGACAAUGGGCGAAAGCCUGAUCCAGCAAUGCCGCGUGUGUGAUGAAGGCCUUCGGGUUGUAAAGCACUUUUGGCGGGAACGAAAAGGACUGUGCCAAUACCACGGUUCGAUGACGGUACCCGCAGAAUAAGCACCGGCUAACUACGUG